CCUAAUUGAAUGCAUUUCGACGGACAUUUUUCAUAUACAGAGAUGAUACUCCUUACCUCUACCCUCCAUAGUGUAUAUGAAGUAGAUCAUAUACGCCAUGACGUUAUAAACCUGACAUUAGCAAACAUAACGAAGCCUAGCGGCGUAUUUAAGAGAAUGAUCUGUCCUCUUUUUUCCAGACGCGUUGACUGUACAAUUUCCAAUGUCGAUUGUCCUCCUUAUAUCUAAAAUCCAUGUUAAUACCUUUAAAAUCUCGUAUAUUGCGUGCAGCCUACAACAAAAAAUUUUCUUUUUUUGGAUAGAAUGGACAUAAAGGAUUUGUUUUUGUCAAUAGUAAAAACAGAAUUCUUCAACAAGAUUACGCGGGUAAAAACGCUGCAGUAAUAAAACACGAAAAAAUAAGAUGAAUCUCGCCGGCGGCAGCGCAAAUUUGGAAAGAAAAUCCCGAUUAUAAGCAAGAAAUUAUUUUUAGUCACUCAUUCAAAAGUAAAUCAUCAGCUAAAAAUCGUUCUUUGGUCAUCUUUGUUGACAAAAAAAAAGAAAGGAGGAGAAAGGGGAAGAACAGAGAUCAUAUCGUAACAACAAGACGGCGAAAAUGAUUUGGCGCUUACCUCGAUACCUUGGGAAUAUCAGCAUCUCGUUGCAUUCCGUUUUCAAAAUCCUGCCUGACACGGAAUUAUUCUAUAAAAUAAAAAAGUAUUAUAAUAAAAAUCUACGAAUGACUAAACAAGUUGUCAAUAAUGUGCAAUAAAAAUAUUCACGAAUAGGUGAAACAACUGCAUUUACGACCCAUUCAACCUGGACUGAAUUGUUAUUUUGUUUUAAGCAAUCUCAAUGUUUCUAACAGUGCUGUCAAUGUAAAUAUAACUUCCAAAUCCUGCAAGCUGA